rnacentral:tRNA from 2 species
AGUAGAGUAAGCUAAAUGUUAAGCUCUUGGGCUCAUACCCCAAUAAUGGAAGGAUAAAAACCUCCCUCUACUU